rnacentral:lncRNA from 1 species
UCAAAGAAAACUAGGUGCCGCUACAAGUUACCGGUUCUUUCAAGCACCCGCAGUUGGUACAUCAGGCACAAUAUUUAGAUUAGUAACUCACCUCGAAGUUAUCCGCAAUAUAAGAUUAAUGUUCAUAAGAACCUCUUCCAACUAAUGAAUGUCUGCCUUGAAAUUUAGGUUUUCUUUUGAAAUAGAUUGUUUGCUUUUAUUGCCUGUCUUUGUCUCAUUUGACAUUCUCUUGGUUGUCUAGGUUGGUUCCGUUGCUGUGUUUGUAACGAGAUAUAGAGGUAUGAUCAGAGAUGCCAAACAAGAUCUGCAACACAGCACAAGUUAUUUCCACAAACCCAAUACGAUUCUAAGUUUUUCGCUACUCUAUGUUUGAGAACCUAAAACCAUAUAAUUAACUAUAAAAAAACCCGUCUCAUACAUACCAAAUGCAGUCCCUAGAGUUAGAUGCCUUCGUAAGUCUAGAAUUAUUCAAGUUUCUGCCAUAUUACUGCUUGAUACAAUGAUUUCCUUGAAGACAAUCGUAGUAUCUAGUAAUCCUCCAGCCUACUUUCUUAGUGCAUCAAGUUCUUUUGCUCUUAUUUUUCCGAGCUCAGUUGUAAUGAAUGUUGAUCAUGCAGGUUAUUAGGCUAAUGUCAAGAGGCGUCGAUAAUUGUGGUUAUGUAAGUCUCAACUAUAAUGCCUUCUUGUACGUGUACUUGUAGUAUACCCAUAUAUAAAGUAAUGGUUGUGUAUCAUAAGAAUCUCCUUAUACUUCAUUAAUACAGACAUUUACAGUUUUACUUCCGAGAUUGUUUAACAUCUUAACUUACAAUUUCAGAUAGGAGGCUUGAUUUUAGGAGCAGCAGUUUACUGGUCUGUAUGACCUCCAUGGAAGUAUGAAUCUAUGGUCAGCAAUGGCCAAAGAAUAUUCGAAGACUGAAAACCAUUUUUUACCUUACUGACAGAAAGCUGAAACCUCGAUGAAUCAGUGUAAGUAUUGACAAUUGUGACACAGGCUCUGAUUUAAAUUGGUUGCAGCUAUCCUAUAAGCAAAGUAUAGCAAGGGGUUUGCAAGGUAGAAGUGAAUUCUAAUCGAACCAGUAAUUUACCAGAAAAUAAUCGAAGGGAUGUAACACCCCGAACCCGAGACCGACACCGGAGUCGAACACGAGAUGUUAACAGACUUUAAACCCUUUAUAAAAAUAUUUCUCAGACACUGCCAAUCUGCGUACUAGUCGCUUUAAAAAUCAUAUCUUGAGUUUCACAACUCGAAAAUAAGUUUCGUGAUUUUUCCCUGAAACUAGACUCAUAUGCCCAUCUACAUAUUUUUUUCUAGAAUUUUUGGUCUGGCCAAUUAGUACAGUUUAUUAGUCAAAGUCUCCCAUGUUACAGGGAUCGACUACACUGACCUUUGCGCAUUACGACCUGGAUAUCUCCCUGCACAGAGCUUCAAUACUGAUGCUGUUUGUUUCUAUAGAAACUAGACUCAGAGAGGAAUCUAUCCAUAUAUGGUAUGACUCCUAAUUGUCUCUGGUUAAUUUAUAAUCAAUUUCCAAAGUCGGAACAGGGAAUCCAGAAACCGUUCUGGCCCUGUCUCACGAGAACCUGAAUAUCUCUUAACAUACUGUCCAUAUGAUCUUUUUGUUGCUUCUAUAUGAAAAUAGACUCAUCGAGCUUCGAAUACAUAAUUUAUUCAUCAAUUUAUUCCACUCCUACUAUUUUUAGUGUUUUUUCAAUCUCACGUCACUGCUGCUGCCAGCAUAUGUUAGGAAAGCAACUAUGCCCAUUUCGUGAUUUCUCCUUGAUCUAACUAGUAAUUCGUCAUACAUAUCACAAAUUAUGAUCAUGACUAGCCAUGCCAAAGGCUAAUCAUUGUCAAACAUCCCCCUACUACACUAUUGCCAUAUCAUGAAUUUUAACACCAAAAUAAUCAACCAUGACAUAUGGCAUAAAAAGGUCGAAUUAUCAAGAUUUACGACCUAACGUUAUGAAACCAAACCCAACCGAACAUUUAUGCCAUUUUCGCAUGGCUAAAAGUUUACAUACCAAAGUUCAAACACAACAUAAUAGCCUAUACAUGCUGAAAUGUUCUCCUAAGCCGACUAAGAAGAAAGUACCAAAACUUGCUAGCCGGUGUGAUGACUUCGACGACGGCAUGAUCACGCAAAAAGAGACGAGUCCAAGAAACCUAGAAUAGGUGACAAGCAAACACCGAAUGAGUAUAUAACUCAGUAAGCCAUAAGCAUUCCACAACCAUCCAUUAAUAAAAUUAUCACAACAGGAAACAAUGAAAUGAGGUUAAGUACUCCAUCCAUACCAAACUAUACCAUAGUUCCUUAAACCCUAUGGUUCAAUCUCAUACCAAGUCCUACAUUGGCCUUUCAUACAUCAUUUUAUUUUCGUUAUAAUCAUACAAUUAAACGAACUUUCACCUAUUCCACAAUGAACCUUAUGUACGUGACUUCAACUAUAAUCGUCACAUAGGUUCAAAACUUACCAAGCUCAACUCCAAAUAUAAACAUAGCGCCUAUUAGCCAUGAACUCAAGGUACUUACCUUUUCCGCUGUCCAAAAUUGACUCGGUAAAGUCGCACCCUUCAUGUAAAUAAUUUAUAGAAAAUAUAUAUUGGGUUCACACACAUAGUGCUUAAUAAUCAACCGCGCACACUUAGUGCCAUGUACUUUAGACUCACACACUUAGUGCCAUGCAUUUCAAGUUCGCACACUUACCUUUUCCGCUGUCCAAAAUCGACUCGGUAAGGUCGCACCCUUAAUGUAAAUAAUUUAUAGAAAAUAUAUAUUGGGUUCGCACACAUAGUGCUUAAUAAUCAACCACGCACACUUAGUGCCAUGUACUUUAAACUCGCACACUUAGUGCUGUACAAUUUAAACCCGCACACUUAGUGCCAAUCUCAUGACCGUGAACACUUAUUGCCCGCACACUUAGUGCCGAAAACCAGCCACUCAAUAGGCUUCACUUCCUUUUUACAUUCGACAAAUUUCAUCUCUACUUACAUAUAAUUUGUAUACAUUUCAUCUCAUUAAACACAAUGGUAUAGGUAUUACGAUCCUUUAAAUCAAUACCAAAGAUAUGCUUAAUGACUUACUUGUGUUGGGUAAGAUGGUUCCAACUCGGCUACUCGAUGAUCUUUUCUUUGCCUUUGCUCGAUUCUCCUCCUUUAACUCCUUGAGCUUAAUCAAUAAAUCAACUAGUUUAACCGCCUUGCUAAAUAUUUACAAUCCAAUGACACAUGCAUAUGUAUGUUAGUAUAUUCGGCAAUCACCCUUACUAAUCACCCACUUGAUCAAUUAUGGAGAAUAAAAGUUAAUAUCACAAUGUGUACCCUAUAUGGCCCAUUAUACAUAAUCAAAUUUAACAUCAUCUAUAUAUUUACUCAUAUGGCCGAAUAUACCUAAUCAUACAUACACCUAAGCAAAAAUAAUUUCUAAAAUCUUUAUAUCAUUUAUACACUAGUAAAACAUCCUCUCCCUUUCCAUCAAUUUAGCACAUGCAUUACUCAUUAACCUACAAAAAUUAUAUUCGGCCUUAGCACACAACUUGCUAGCCGAUUCUUCCCCAUCUAGCAACCAAUGCACAUAUGUGCUCACUCAAAAAUGCUAAAAAAAAGAGAUUCAAGAAUCAUCAAUCCACCAUCACAUGCAUCAUUAGCAAGCUUCAUAUUUAGCAUGCAAUGGCAUUAACACAAACUCCACCUAGGCCGAAUCUUAACUCAUCUUCAUGCCUCAUCACCACAACAUCAAACAUCAAAAUACCAACCAAGAAUGUAACAUGCAUGGCCGAAUAUCAUCUCCAUCAUUUAACAAAGUUUGAACCAUGGCUAGGUAGCUUUCAAACUUACAACUUAAAAUAUACAUGAAUCUCAAAGAAUAAUAUCAAACAUACCUCAAUCUAGUUACAUGCAUGGCCAAACUUCCUCUUAAUUCUCUUCCAAACCAAACAUGAAGCAAGAACUCCUUCCUCCUCCCUUAGAAUUUUCGGUCAAAAGAGGAUGAAAAAGGAUGAACAAGUUUUUUCUUUUCCUUUCUUUAGCUCACGGCAAUGGGGGGGGGGGGAAACAACCACUCAUUUUUUUGUUUUUCCUUUCUUUAUUACCCAUACUCCUUAUUUUAUUUUUUUCCUACAUACCUCACUAGGCCAACAUGUUCCCAACAUGUUUCCACCCAUAGCAUGGCCAACCACUAGCUCAAAUUUUGGGUAAUUUGACAUGCAAACCCAUCAUUUUCACAACAUGCAUUAAUAGACCAUUUUAAAUUAGCCUAUCAUAUUUUCACCAUGUCUCAUAUCGAUCCCUAUUUAAUAAUUUCUCAUACAAUUGGCAAAAUUGGAGAAUGAAACUUCCACAUACUCAUGUACACACAUAAUAAGCAUAGAAUAUGGAAAUUAAUUAUUUUUAUGACUCGGUUUUGUGGUCCCGAAACCACUUCCCGACUAGGGUCAAUUUUGGGCUGUUACAACUCUCCCCCACUUAAGAAAUUUUCGUCCCCGAAAAUCUUACCGGUAAAUAGGUUUGGGUAUCGUUCUUUCAUCGAGCUCUCGGUUUCCCAAGUAGCUUCCUCGAUCCCAUGUUUGAGCCAUAACACCUUCACUAACGGAACCAUUUUGUUUCACAACUCCUUCACUUCACGAGCUAGGAUACGUAUCGGUUCUUCUUCAUAACUCAUAUCGGCUUGAAUUUCAACCUCUGAUGGGCUAAUUAUAUGCGAUGGAUCAGAUCGAUAGCGUCGAAGCAUCGAAACAUGAAAGACGUCGUGAAUCUUUUCAAGCUUAGGGGGCAAAAUCAAUCUAUACGCAACCGGACCAACUCGUUCGGAGAUUUCGUACGGCCCAAUGAAUCUCGGGCUCAACUUGCCCUUACGGCCAAACCUGAGUACCUUUUUCCAAGGCAAAACUUUAAGGAACACUUUAUCUCCCACCUGAUAUUCAAUGUCCUUUCGUUUCAAGUCCGCAUACGAUUUCUGACGAUCUGUGGCUGCCUUCAGACUUUCACGGAUUACCUUUACUUUCUGUUCGGCAUCUUUAAUCAAAUCAACUCCGAAAAUUUUACUUUCACCGAGCUCGAUCCAAAACAAUGGUGUACGGCAUUUACGACCGUACAAAGCCUCGUAAGGUGCCAUCUUAAUACUUGAUUGAAAACUAUUGUUGUAAGCGAAUUCAAUCAAAGGUACAUACCGUUCCCAUGAACCACUAAACUCAACGAUGCAGCAUCUCAGCAUAUCCUCGAGUAUCUGAAUUAUCCGCUCGGAUUGACCAUCGGUUUGGGGAUGAAAAGCGGUGCUAAAAUGCAGCUUGGUACCCAAAGCUUCUUGCAAUUUCUUCCAAAAUCGCGAGGUGAAUCUCGGAUCUCUAUCCGACACGAUAGAAAUAGGUACUCCAUGUAAUCUCACAAUCUGAGAAACAUACAAUUCAGCUAGUUUAUCCAAUGAAAAAUCCGUACGCACGGGGAUAAAGUGAGCCGACUUAGUCAGUCUAUCAACAACAACCCAAAUCGCAUCCUUCUUACUUGUUGACAAUGGUAGUCCAAACACAAAGUCCAUUGUGACUCGAUCCCAUUUCCACUCGGGUAUCAUGAUCGGCUGAAGUAAUCCUGAAGGCACUUGAUGUUUCGCUUUCACUUGUUGACAUAUUAAACAUCUCGAAACAAAGUCGGAGAUGUCCCGUUUCAUACCAUGCCACCAAAACCGUCGUUUCAAAUCGUUGUACAUUUUCGUACUCCCCGGGUGAAUUGACAUUCGGCUACAAUGAGCUUCGUUCAGAAUCAUCGAAAUGAGUUCUGAAUUUCUUGGAACACACAACCGACUUCUGAACCUCAAACAAUCGUCAUCAUCAAUUUGAAAUUCGGAUUCCAUAUUCGGAAUACAUUCAGCCCGUUUUGCAACCAAUUCAUCGUCGACUUUCUGAGCUUCACGAAUUUGAUGAAUCAAUGAUGGUUUGGCCUUUAAUUCAGCUACUAACACAUUGUCGGGUAGAAUAGACAAGUGCACAUUCAUCGCUCGUAAAGCAAACAGCGAUUUUCGGCUUAAGGCGUCCGCAACCACAUUAGCCUUUCCCGGGUGGUAAUCAAUGACAAGCUCGUAAUCUUUGAACAACUCAAGCCAACGUCUUUGUCGCAGAUUUAAGUCUCUUUGAGUCAUCAAAUAUUUGAGACUUUUGUGAUCCGAAAAUACAUGGCACUUUUCACCAAACAAGUAAUGUCGCCAUAUUUUCAAAGCGAAUACGAUGGCGGCUAGUUCGAGAUCAUGGGUUGGAUAAUUUCUCUCGUGUGGCUUCAAUUGUCUCGACGCAUAGGCCACAACUCGGCCUUCUUGCAUCAAUACGCAACCCAACCCGAGUAGGGAUACGUCACUAUAAAUGACAAAUUCUUUGCCUGAUUCGGGUUGCACUAAAAUUGGAGUUUCAGUUAAAUGAGUUUUCAGUUGAUCGAAGCCUUUCUGACAUUUCUCCGUCCAUUCGAACUUAGCAUCCUUUUGAAGUAGCUUCGUCAUUGGUGUGGCUAUCAUCGAGAAACCUUUGACAAAUCGUCGGUAAUAACCGGCGAGUCCCAAAAAGCUCCGAACCUCAGUAAUAUUUCUCGGAGGUUUCCAGUUAAGUAUGGCUGAGAUUUUGUUCGGGUCAACUCGAAUACCCGAUGCGGAUACCACAUGACCCAAGAAGCUAACCUCUCUUAACCAGAACUCACACUUACUGAACUUAGCAUAUAACUUCUUAUCCCGCAAAACUUGCAACACUAAUCUCAAGUGUUCAGCAUGUUCGAUCUCAUCUCUUGAAUAGACCAAGAUGUCAUCAAUGAACACAACUACGAACCGAUCCAAAUAUGGUCUGAAGAUUCGAUUCAUCAAAUCCAUAAAUACCGCAGGGGCAUUAGUGAGCCCAAACGGCAUCACUAAGAACUCGUAGUGACCGUACCUCAUUCUGAAAGCAGUUUUGGGUAUGUCCGAAUCUCGAAUUCGCAACUGAUAAUAGCCCGAUCUCAAAUCUAUUUUUGAGAACACUGAGGCUCCCUUCAGUUGGUCGAACAAAUCAUCGAUGCGCGGAAACGGAUAUUUGUUCUUUAUCGUCACUUUAUUCAGUUGACGAUAGUCAAUGCACAACCUCAUGGUUCCGUCCUUCUUUUUCACGAACAAUACUGGUGCACCCCAAGGUGAGAAACUUGGUCGAGCAAAACCUCUAUCCGUCAAUUCUUGCAACUGAGAUUUUAACUCUUUUAACUCGGUUGGUGCCAUACGAUACGGAGCUAUCGAAAUCGGCGUAGUCCCAGGUACAAGCUCAAUACCAAACUCUACCUCCCGAACAGGUGGUAAACCCGGUAAUUCUUCAGGAAAAACAUCCGGGUAUUCACAAACCACCGGCACAAAUUCGGGUUUCUUUUCUGACUCUUUGUCAUCAAGUACAUACGCAAGGUAUGCUUCACACCCUUUUCUUACAUAUUUCUGGGCCAACAUUGCUGAUAUUACAGCUGGCAACCCUCUUAAGUCCGUAGACUCAAUUCGAAUUAUCUCGUUAUUUGCUCACCUCAAAUCAAAAGUCUUGCUUUUGCAAUUCACAACCGCAUCAUGCGCGGUCAACCAAUCCAAACCAAGAAUAACGUCAAAUUCGUCAAACGGCAAAAGCAUCAAAUCGGCCGGAAGACAGGAUUCUCGGAUUUUUAGAGGGCAUCUCUUACACACUUUAUCAACAAGUACGCAUUGACCCAAAGGGUUUGACACUCGAAUUACGAACUCAGUAGACUCAACAGGUAGAGUCUUACUGGAUGCUAAGGUUUCGCAUACAUAUGAAUGAGUAGAGCCAGGGUCAAUCAAUGCAAUCACAUUAGUAUCAAAGAGAGUGAAGGUACCAGUGAUGACGUCAGGGGAGGAUGCCUCCUCUCGUGCGCGAAUGGCAUAUGCUCUAGCAGGAGUACGGUUCUCGGCUCGAACAGCCGUAUCAGAGGUCCCUCUCUGACUACCACCCCUACCUCCUAAAAUUCUCGGUGGUCUACCUCUAGUUGUCACUCCACUAGGUCUUGCACCUUGAAUCUUAUUCUUCUCAUCAAGCUCCGUGCAAUCUCUAAUGAAGUGGUCCUUCGAACCGCAUCCGUAACAAGCCCUGUUAAUAGACUUACCCCAACAUUCACCUAUGUGUCGUCUUCCACAUUGGGGACAUUCAGGUUUCUCUAGACGAUUAUUGCCCACACUAGCUACCGAAGUAGCUCGGGAGUCCGUCGAUGGUCUUGCUCUGAUGGAAAUUCCCGCAGUCGUCCUCGACUUAUUAGUGUCCUCCCUGAACUUCUUUACGGCUGAGAACGGAGCUUUACCCGUCGAUCUUUUACGAUAGUCUCUAGCUUCAAAUUCAGCCUUCUUCUUCUCCUUUCCAAGUUCUUCCGCCUUGCAGGCUCGUUCGACUAGUGUUACGAAUUCUUUUAUUUCCAAAAUACCCAUUAGUAGCUUUAAAUCUUCAUUCAAUCCUUCUUCGAAUCUUUUGCACAUAGCAACCUCAUCAGCUACACACUCCCGGGCAUACCUACUGAGUCUUACGAAUUCAUGUUCGUAUUCAGAUACUGUCAUACGGCCUUGCUUGAGUUCCAAGAAUUCCUUACGCUUUUGAUCAAUGAACCGUUGACUAAUAUAUUUCUUUCGAAAUUCCGUCUGAAAGAAGUCCCAAGUUACUCGUUCGUUUGGGACUAUGGAAAUCAGGGUCCUCCACCAAUAGUAGGCUGAGUCCCGCAACAAGGAUAUAACACACUUUAGACAUUCAUCGGGUGUGCAUGACAGUUCAUCAAACACCCGAAUGGUGUUAUCAAGCCAGAACUCGGCCCUUUCAGCAUCAUCAGUAACUAUGGCCCUGAACUCCUCAGCCCCGCGCUUCCUAAUCAAGUCUACAGGUGGCUUACUCAGCCUCACAGGAUCAGUAACUGAUGGCAUUAUUGGCUUCGGGGGUAGAUUAUUCAAAUUCGGGAAUUGUUGGACAGCCGGAUUGGUUCGGGCAUACUGCGCGACCCACUCAUUCAUCAUGGUAAAGAAGGCUUGUUUAGCCCCCUCACCUUGAUUAUUCGCAGAUGACUGAGGUUCAACAAGCGGUGUCCCUUGUGCAGGAGCAGCCGCUACACUUUCAAUGUCAUCCGCCAAGGUUCUCUCUACACCGGGAUCCAUUUACUAAUCAAAACAUAAAUUUUAACCGUCAGAAGUCAUCACACAGUUAAACAUUAACAUUCGGCAUGUAUAGCUAGACUCAUACGUGCUAUGGUAGUCCUAGAACCGACUAAACCAUAGCUCUGAUACCAAUCAAAUGUAACACCCCGAACCCGAGACCGACACCGGAGUCGAACACGAGAUGUUAAUAGACUUUAAACCCUUUAUAAAAAUAUUUCUCAGACACUGCCAAUCUCCGUACUAGUCGUUUUAAAAAUCAUAUCUUGAGUUUCACAACUCAAAAAUCAGUUUCGUGAUUUUUCCCUGAAACUAGACUCAUAUGCCCAUCUACAUAUUUUUUUCUAGAAUUUUUGGUCAGGCCAAUUAGUACAUUUUAUUAGUCAAAUUCUCCCAUGUUACAGGGAUCGACUACACUGACCUUUGCGCAUUACGACCUGGAUAUCUCCCUGCACAGAGCUUCAAUACUGAUGCCGUUUGUUUCUAUAGAAACUAGACUCAGAGAGGAAUCUAUCCAUAUAUUUUAUGACUCCUAAUUGUCUCUGGUUAAUUUAUAAUGAAUUUCCAAAGUCGGAACAGAGAAUCCAGAAACCGUUCUGGCCCUGUCUCACGAGAACCUGAAUGUCUCUUAACAUACUGUCCAUAUGAUCUUUUCGUUGCUUCUAUAUGAAAAUAGACUCAUCGAGCUUCGAAUACAUAAUUUAUUCAUCAAUUUAUUCCACUCCUACUAUUUUUAGUGAUUUUUCAAUCUCACGUCACUGCUGCUGCCAGCAUCUGUUACGAAAGCAACUAUGCCCAUUUCGUGAUUUCUCCUUGAUCUAACUAGUAAUUCGUCAUACAUAUCACAAAUUAUGAUCAUGACUAGCCAUGCCAAAGGCUAAUCAUUGUCAAACAUCCCCCUACUACACUAUUUCCAUAUCAUGAAUUUUAACACCAAAAUAAUCAACCAUGACAUAUGGCAUAAAAAGGUCGAAUUAUCAAGAUUUACGACCUAACGUUAUGAAACCAAACCCAACCGAACAUUUAUGCCAUUUUCGCAUGGCUAAAAGUUUACAUACCAAAGUUCAAACACAACAUAAUAGCCUAUACAUGCCGAAAUGUUCUCCUAAGCCGACUAAGAAGAAAGUACCAAAACUUGCUAGCAGGUGUGAUGACUUCGACGACGGCACGAUCACGCAAAAAGAGACAAGUCCAAGAAACCUAGAAUAGGUGACAAGCAAACACCGAAUGAGUAUAUAACUCAGUAAGCCAUAAGCAUUCCACAACCAUCCAUUAAUAAAAUUAUCACAACAGGAAACAAUGAAAUGAGGUUAAGUACUCCAUCCAUACCAAACUAUACCAUAGUUCCUUAAACCCUAUGGUUCAAUCUCAUACCAAGUCCUACAUUGGCCUUUCAUACAUCAUUUUAUUUUCGUUAUAAUCAUACAAUUAAACGAACUUUCACCUAUUCCACAAUGAACCUUAUGUACGUGACUUCAACUAUAAUCGUCACAUAGGUUCAAAACUUACCAAGCUCAACUCCAAAUAUAAACAUAGCGCCUAUUAGCCAUGAACUCAAGGUACUUACCUUUUCCGCUGUCCAAAAUUGACUCGGUAAAGUCGCACCCUUCAUGUAAAUAAUUUAUAGAAAAUAUAUAUUGGGUUCGCACACAUAGUGCUUAAUAAUCAACCGCGCACACUUAGUGCCAUGCACUUUAAACUCACACACUUAGUGCCAUGCAUUUCAAGUUCGCACACUUACCUUUUCCGCUGUCCAAAAUCGACUCGGUAAGGUCGCACCCUUAAUGUAAAUAAUUUAUAGAAAAUAUAUAUUGGGUUCGCACACAUAGUGCUUAAUAAUCAACCACGCACACUUAGUGCCAUGUACUUUAAACUCGCACACUUAGUGCUGUACAAUUUAAACCCGCACACUUAGUGCCAAUCUCAUGACCGUGAACACUUAUUGCCCGCACACUUAGUGCCGAAAACCAGCCACUCAAUAGGCUUCACUUCCUUUUUACAUUCGACAAAUUUCAUCUCUACUUACAUAUACAUUUGUAUACAUUUCAUCUCAUUAAACACAAUGGUAUAGGUAUUACGAUCCUUUAAAUCAAUACCAAAGAUAUGCUUAAUGACUUACUUGUGUUGGGUAAGAUGGUUCCAACUCGGCUACUCGAUGAUCUUUUCUUUGCCUUUGCUCGAUUCUCCUCCUUUAACUCCUUGAGCUUAAUCAAUAAAUCAACUAGUUUAACCGCCUUGCUAAAUAUUUACAAUCCAAUGACACAUGCAUAUGUAUGUUAGUAUAUUCGGCAAUCACCCUUACUAAUCACCCACUUGAUCAAUUAUGGAGAAUAAAAGUUAAUAUCACAAUGUGUACCCAAUAUGGCCCAUUAUACAUAAUCAAAUUUAACAUCAUCUAUAUAUUUACUCAUAUGGCCGAAUAUACCUAAUCAUACAUACACCUAAGCAAAAAUAAUUUCUAAAAUCUUUAUAUCAUUUAUACACUAGUAAAGCAUCCUCUCCCUUUCCAUCAAUUUAGCACAUGCAUUACUCAUUAACCUACAAAAAUUAUAUUCGGCCUUAGCACACAACUUGCUAGCCGAUUCUUCCCCAUCUAGCAACCAAUGCACAUAUGUGCUCACUCAAAAAUGCUAAAAAAAAAGAGAUUCAAGAAUCAUCAAUCCACCAUCACAUGCAUCAUUAGCAAGCUUCAUAUUUAGCAUGCAAUGGCAUUAACACAAACUCCACCUAGGCCGAAUCUUAACUCAUCUUCAUGCCUCAUCACCACAACAUCAAACAUCAAAAUACCAACCAAGAAUGUAACAUGCAUGGCCGAAUAUCAUCUCCAUCAUUUAACAAAGUUUGAACCAUGGCUAGGUAGCUUUCAAACUUACAACUUAAAAUAUACAUGAAUCUCAAAGAAUAAUAUCAAACAUACCUCAAUCUAGUUACAUGCAUGGCCAAACUUCCUCUUAAUUCUCUUCCAAACCAAACAUGAAGCAAGAACUCCUUCCUCCUCCCUUAGAAUUUUCGGUCAAAAGAGGAUGAAAAAGGAUGAACAAGUUUUUUCUUUUCCUUUCUUUAGCUCACGGCAAUGGGGGGGGGGAAACAACCACUCAUUUUUUUGUUUUUCCUUUCUUUAUUACCCAUACUCCUUAUUUUAUUUUUUUCCUACAUACCUCACUAGGCCAACAUGUUCCCAACAUGUUUCCACCCAUAGCAUGGCCAACCACUAGCUCAAAUUUUGGGUAAUUUGACAUGCAAACCCAUCAUUUUCACAACAUGCAUUAAUAGACCGUUUUAAAUUAGCCUAUCAUAUUUUCACCAUGUCUCAUAUCGAUCCCUAUUUAAUAAUUUCUCAUACAAUUGGCAAAAUUGGAGAAUGAAACUUCCACAUACUCAUGUACACACAUAAUAAGCAUAGAAUAUGGAAAUUAAUUAUUUUUAUGACUCGGUUUUGUGGUCCCGAAACCACUUCCCGACUAGGGUCAAUUUUGGGCUGUUACAAGGGAUGAUGGUGAUUUCCCUAGCUAUAUUCUGAUAUAUCACUGACGGUUCAGAGUUCACCACCAUUUCUGUAUUGUAUUUUAGCAAAACAAUCUGGUUUCUGAUAUCUGUAGUGUAGUGAAGUUUGAAGUGAAGAUGGCCCUUUUUUUAUAUUGAAGCUCGUUGAAUCUUGACCAUUGAUUUAUGAUUAUUACACUUAAUCAUAUCCGUUAAAAAAUGGGAAACUUAAUUAAUGCUAGCAUUUAUAAAAACUCCUUAUAUGGCAUUAUGCAUAUCCACCACCUACCACUUUAGAUUAUUAUUUAGUGUUAGUGAAAUAGAAGUUUAUGUUUAUCUUUACUAAUACAAAAAAAAUAUAACCGAGAUUGGUGCAUGAGUUAAUCGUAGACAAUAAAAUUAUGGAAUUAUAGUAGAUUUUUUAGAAAAUCGUAGAAAUCAGAGUAUUUUAUACUAAAUAGAACAUAAAUCAGAGUUUUCAUAUACAACCUAUGACACUACUUUAGGAAACUCUAAGUUAGGAAAGAUACUAAAUAGGAGAUAUGAUCCCUUAAAAUAAGGGAUUUUAAUAAAAAAAAAUAUCUACAAAAUAUUCCUAAAAUAUUUACAGAAUAUUCCUACACUCCCCCUCAAGCUGGAGAAUAUACAUUGUAUAAUCCCAGCUUGAAUAGGAAUUUAUUGAACACAGGUUUUGGCAAAGCCUUCGUAAGAAUGUCUGCAAUCUGUCCUUCUGAAGGAAUGUAAGAAAGAGUGGCUGUCUUUUUGUUGACUUGAUCAGCAAUAAAAUGCCUAUCAAUUUCAACAUGCUUUGUUCGGUCAUGUUGAACUGGGUUCUUGGCAAUCUAAAUGGCUGAUUGAUUAUCACACAAAACUUCAAAGUGAUCCUCCUGAUUUGUGCCAAGUUCUUUUAGUAAUUUAAGUAGCCAAAUUCCUUCGCAUAUCCCCAAAGCUAGUGCUCUAAAUUCAGCUUCAACACUACUUCUUGAAACAACAGAUUGUUUCUUACUUCUCCAAGUUGUAAGGUUACCCCAAACAAAAGUGCAGUACCCACUAGUGGAUCUUUUUUUAGUGAGAUCUCCAGCCCAACUAGAGUCUGUAAAAAUCUUAACAGUUCUGUCUUGUGUCUUCUUAAACAUUAAGCCGUGUCCUAGAGUUUUCUUUAAGUACUUGAGAAUUCUAUUUGCUGCUGCCAUAUGCUCUUCAGUAGGAUUAGUCAUGUGUUGACUUAUCACAUUUACGGGAAAAGCUAUAUCUGGCCUUGUUAAGGAUAAGUAGAUUAGUUUCUCAACUAACCUUUGAAAUUUCUCUCUGUCUACUAAGGACUCAUCUUCUUUAUUAAAUCUCAAGUUUGCCUCUAUUGGUGUAUCAGCCGGCUUACAGCCAAGAAAACCAGUUUCUUUGAGUAAAUCAAGUAAUACUUUCUCUGGUUGAUCACAAGUUCUUCUUUUGAUCUUGCCACCUCCAUUCCUAGGAAAUACCUUAGCUUUCCCAAGUCCUUGGUUUCGAAUUCCCUGUUUAACAACUUCUUCAAACUGCUAAUCUCUUCCUCAUCAUCUCUAGUAAGAAUGAUGUCAUCCACAUACAUAAUUAGGAUAGCUUUCUUAUUUGUAGAAGUUACCUUGAUGAAAAGCGUAUGAUCGGUAAGGGAUUGCUUGUAGCCAUUUUGAAGAAUGACUUUAGUGAACCUCUCGAACCAAGCUCUGGGUGAUUGUUUUAACCCGUAUAGAGACUUGUUGAGCUUGCAAACCUUGUUGCUACCUUCAAUAGACUUUGAGCCAGGUGGCAAUUGCAUAUAGACUUCUUCCUCAAGCUUGCCAUUAAGAAAUGCAUUUUUACAUCAAGUUGGUGUAAUUUCCAAUCGCAAUUUACAGCCAAACUUAGGAGUACUCGAAUAGUGUUAAGCUUUGCCACAGGUGAAAAAGUUUCUGUGAAGUCUAUCCCAUAUGUUUGCGUGAAACCUCUAGCCACUAGUCUAGCUUUGUAUCGUUGGAUACUGCCAUUGGAGUUAUACUUUACAGCAAAGAUCCAUUUACAGCCGACAGCCUUUUUCCUUGAGGAAGGUCUGUAAUGGUCCAAGUAGCAUUUUUCUCUAGUGCACAAAUUUCCUCUUCAACAGCCCUUCUCCAUUUUGGAUACUUUAGAGCUUCAGCUAUGCUUGUGGGAACCUGUUCUUUAUCCAAAGUUGCUGUAAAUGCUUGAAAAGACGGCAUCAAUGAAUUAUAACCAGUAAAUUUUUCAAUAGGAUGCUUAGUGCACUGUCUAACCCCUUUUCUAAUAGCAAUAGGAAAUUCAUCUAUAGUAGUGGACUUACUGAUUUCUUCUUCCAUUUCGGCAGCUGGACCCAAAUCCAAAUCAGAUUGCAAAAUAGUCUCAGGGAUAUGUCUUCUUUUUCUUGUGUAGACACGAAGCUGUUUGGGUGGUGGUGUUUUUUGAAGACUGUCAAUUAGAGUAGGUGUAUUUUCAGGAAGAGUGUUUAAAGUGGGUGUAGGUGAAUUAGUCAUAGGUACUACAGGAGAAUUGGGAGCAUUCACAGGUGACAGAUCUGCAGGUAAUGGCGAACAAGAUGGCAGUUCUGAAGGUUGAGAAUGAAGAUUAGGAGGAGAUACCUGUUGUGGCUGAAAAUCACUCCAUGUUUCCCCCUGAAUUUCAGCCUGAGUGAAAUAGGAAUCCUGCUCAUAAAAUGUUAUAUCCAUAGUGGUGAAAAAUCGUUUAGAAGGAGGAUGAUAGCAUUUAUAACCCUUCUUAAGUGAAGAAUACCCAACCAAUACACAUUUUAAAGACUUAGGAUCUAACUUGGACUUAUUAGGAGCAAUAUUUUGGAUAAAAACAGUGCAGCCAAAAAUUUUAAGUGGCAGAAUGGAGGAGAUAGGCUUAAAAUGAGGAAAGUGCUGCAAAAAUAUAGAUUGAGGCGUUUGAAAUUUUAAAACCUUACUAGGCAUCCGGUUAAUUAAAUAUGUGGCAGUUAAUAAGGCUUCCCCCCAUAAAUAUUUAGGAACAUUAGUGGUAAAUAGAAGAGAACGAGUAACUUCAAGAAGGUGCCUAUUUUUUCUUUCGGCAAUGCCGUUUUGCUGUGGGGUUCCAACACAAGAACUAAUCUGAACUAUGCCCUUUUCCUUAAAAAAAUCACCUAAAGACCUAGCAAAAAAUUCACUGCCAUUAUCAGAUUUAAAGAGCUGGAUUUUAGACCCAAAUUGAGUGAGAACCAUGUUAUAAAAUUGCACAAAAACACUAGCAGUUUCAGAUUUAUCUUUCAGCAAAUAAGUCCAAGUUAUCCUACUAUGAUCAUCAAUAAAAGUGAUAAACCACUUACAAUUAUCAGCAUUCUUCACCCGAGAAGGGCCCCAAAUAUCACUAUGGAUCAAAGCAAAAGAGUAAGAAGGCUUGUAUGUAGAAGGAAAAUAAGAUGAUUUAGUAUGUUUGGCAAGAGAGCAAACUUUGCAAGGAAAAGAAUUAGGCCUUUUAUUAAUGAAUAGAUCAUGAAACAAUUUUGCAAGGUAUUGGAAACUAGGAUGGCCUAAACGAAAGUGCCAUAACAUAACAGUAUCAACUUUUCCUAAAGCGGUAAAUGACUUGGAGAUCUCGAUUUUAGGAGAGGUAGGGAGGAUGUAGAGACCAUUAUAUAAGCUGGCCUUACCAAUCAUCUUCUUCGAGUUCAGUGCCUGCAAAGUACAAUCACGAUCAUUAAAAAUUACAGAGCAGUGCAAGUCUGUGGACAAUUUACUAACAGAGAUGAGAUUGCACGCCAGAUUUGGUACAAAGAGAACAUUUUUAAGUGCAAUCUGUUUAUUGAGAAUAACAGUGCCAUGUCCCUCUAUUUUGCGCAAGGUACCAUCAGCCGUUUUGACAGCUUUACCAAAGGUAUAGAAAAAAUUGUGAAACAAUACCUUGUUACCAGUCAUAUGAUCCAUAGCACCAGAAUCGAAGAUCCAAUUAGGAGUCAACUGGGAGGAGAAAAAUGCAGUAGAAGAAAGGUUACCUUCUGGAUCUUUUAUGACCAGAUUACCCUCACAAGACCCUUGAAACUUUCCAAAUAGUUUUUGAAGUUCAGCAAUCUGUUCUUUAGUGAAACUAGUGACAGAGGUGGCAACAAGGCUUGAUUUAUUAUCUCGAGAGUGCUUGGACUUCCAGUCCUGAGGCUUACCAUGAAGCUUCCAACACUUCUUCUUAGAGUGGCCGGGCUUUUUGCAAUGAUCACACCAAGGUCUCCCCCGUUUGGAAGAGGGAGAUGAUUGAUGGGUCAGUAAGGCAGAUCUUUCAAAAGUGGAAUAUGGUUUAUCAGACAGCAUCACACACCUUCGGCUUUCUUCUUUCUUGACCAUAGAGAAAGCCUCUCGAAGGGAGGGAAGAGGAGAAAUAGCCAGGACCCUGCCGCGAACCUCGUCCAGGUCCUUAUUUAAGCCUUGGAGAAAUUGAAAAAGUCUUCGUUGAGUAACAAUUUACUGAUAAAGAGCAGCAUCUCUUGGAUCUAUCCAAUCAUAAUGUGCAUACAAAUUUAAUUGUUGCCAAAGAGCAGUAAGGGUAUUGUAGUAGAGAGUAACAUGCAUGGUUCCUUGUUUAAGGGUGGCUGCUUGAUCUUCAACAUGAUAUAAUUUAGCAAUGUUAUCCGUGCUAGAUUAGGUUUCGCGGACUGCACUCCAAAUUUCAGCGGCUGUGGUGUAAAGAAGAAAGUUUCUGCUUAUACUCGGGGUCACGGAAUUAAGGAGCCAAGUCAUAACCUGACCAUUGUCACUCAUCCACUUAGCAAAACCAGCAUCAGUCACAGUAGGCUUUUUGAUUUCACCAGUAACGUAGUCCAAUCUUUCUCUGCCCAAGAGAAAAAUCUUAACCAAUUGGGACCAUUCAAGAAAAUUGUUGCCAUUCAAUCGAUGGCAGGUGAUAGUCAGACUAGACGAAUCUGAUGAAGCAUCGGAACCAGAAAAAUUUUCUGGAUUUGAAGUAAUCUCCGAAGUAGGAGAAGGAGUUUCGGACAUGGUCUAGGUUGAAAAAGAAAUCGUAACCUAAGCUCUGAUACAAUGUAGAAAUCAGAGUAUUUUAUACUAAAUAGAACAUAAAUCAGAGUUUUUAUAUGCAACCUAUGACACUACUUUAGGAAACUCUAAGUUAGGAAAGAUACUAAAUAGGAGAUAUGAUCCCUUAAAAUAAGGGAUUUUAAUAAAAAAAAUAUCUACAAAAUAUUCCUAAAAUAUUUACAGAAUAUUCCUACAAAAAUACAACUUGAACUACAUGCAGGGAGGCUCAAGUGGUAUCAUACUUGCAAGUAGAUUGCCCAUAUAACUUAGGUUGGUGCUUCAAGCCUCCUCACACAUAAAUGAUUUCCAUAAUUAACGUUAGACACUAUAGCGGCACCUCUCCAGUGAGUUUUGCAGGUCAUAUCUCCGUCAACCGAGGUGCUUUCGACUCUAUGAAUCCACGCCUACAGCAGGCGUCUUAAAGCAGUCGGGCUCUCAGCAAAUUCAGAAGGAUAAAACUCCGCCAUGGGAAAAAUGCCUUACAUUGUUAGGGGUUCAAUUGUCUUAUUAACAAAAGAGAGAUUUGGAUGUUGGCCACAUCUUCUCUUUUACAUGCUAAUAUUGAAACCUUAUGGUAUGGUUUCGAAUUAGAUGAUUUCAAAUUUCUCAACUAGGAAGUUUAUUUCUAUAUUUGAUUUAAUAGAAUUUGUUGUUUUCAGGUAAAUUGUUAUUCUUUGAAUUCUGUUGGACCUACUAUGGAGAAUUUAAGCGGUCUAAGAAGAUCCCUUGCAGUUUACUUCACCUCUGCUCUUUCAAGUAACAACUCUUAAACUCAUUACAGUAUCUUAUAAAUUGUCGGUUGUGCAAAGCACCUGCUAUUGGUGCAUUAGGUGCAAUCUCUGGAUUAGUAAGUCAUCUCAAACUUAUUCGCAAAAUAAGAUUAAUGUUGCUAAGAACCUUUUCCAACUAAUGAUUGUCCGCUUUUAAAAUCUAGGUUUUUUUUUGCUUGGGAAAUUGAUUGUUUGCUUUUAUCGCCGGUCUUCUUCUCAUUUGACAAUCUCUUGGCUGUUUAAGUUGGUUUUGUUGCUGUGUUUGUCUUGAGACAGAGGUUUGAUCAGAGAUGCCAAAGAAGAUCUGCAGCAAAUGGCACAAGUUAUUUUCCCAAACACGGUAUGAUUCAAAGUUUUUGCAAUUCAAUGUUUGAGAUUUGGAGGAACCGUAAAAGACAUGUCAAUAAACCGGGCUCAUAUAUACCAAAUGCAACCCCUAUAGUUGAUGCCUUAGUAAGUCUAGAUUUAUCCAAGUUUCUGUUAUGUUACUGGUGUGAUAUAAUGACUACCCUGAAAAAAGUUGUAGUCUCUAUCGCCCUCAUGUGGACUUUUCUUAAUGCAUCAAUGCUUUUGCACAUGCAUUGCGCAUGUUAGUGGUAAUGAAUGUUUAUCAUGCAGGUUAUUAGGCUAAUGUCUAGAGGCAUUGAUAAUUGGGGACACACAAGUUUUAACUAUUACACGUGUGCUUGUAGUAUACCCCUAUUUAAAGUAACAGUUAUGUACUAUAAGAAUCACAAUACUUCUUCGUUGAUAUAGACAGUUACGGUUUUACUUCUGAGAUUGAUCAAAAUCUAAUCUUACAAUUUUAGCUAUGUGGCUUCUUGGAGGAGCAGUAGUGUCUUGGCUUAUAGGACCUGCAUGGAAGUACGAUUUGACUCAGUCAAAGAAAACUAGGUGCCGCUACAAGUUACUGGUUCUUCAAAGCACCCGCAGUUGGUACAUCAGGCGUAAUAAUUGGAUGAGUAAGUCAUCUCGAACUUAUUCGCAAAAUAAGAUUAAUGUUCAUAAGAACCUGUUCCAACUAAUGAUUGUCUGCCUAGAAAAUUUAGGACUUUGGUGAGGAAUAGCUUGCUCUGAGACAUACAAUAGAACCGGUCAACAGUAAGAGUUCAUAACUUAAAAUCUACAUUGACAACUCAAUUUCAAUGCUUAAUUGUGGAAUUAAUUUUCCCGUGAAGAAUUCAUUUUUCACCAAACAAACAUGAGAAAACAAUGAAAAUGUUUUUCUUAAAUUUUUUUACAAGUAAACAGACAGAGCCUUAAUUUCUAUUUAAAUUAUCUAUUUUUAUAAGGACUAGUCUCAUCCAACCCAGCUUAACUGAAAUUCUAUAGAUUGGCAUGGUGACAGCUUAGAAUUGCUUAUGCUUAUCUCAAGUUGUUUACUGCUCCAAGUCACAAACCAAAAAAUAACUCAUCAAAAUACAUUUGAACAACAAAACCUUAAAGUUCGCUAACUCUCUCUCGGAAAAAAUUGAACUUGAAAUCUUAAAAUUUUGAAUUUCGAAAUCUCUUCCUUGCCAUUAAACCAAAGAACCAAUGCCUCAUUGGCAAAUGAUUUAAAGUAUAUGAAAACUGAAUUCUAUUUUUUUUCUUCUGUUUCACCAACACUAAAGGAUAAUCCAAGGUUAAUGGUGGAUGGUGGAUAUGCAUACUGCCAUAUAAGGAUAUUUUAUAAAUGUUAGCAUUAAUUAGGUUUCCUUUUUUUUUCAACGGAUAUGAUGAAGUGUAAGAAACAUAAAUGAACGGUCAAGAUUUAACUAGCUUCAUUAUAACAAAAAGGGCCAUCUUCACUUCAAACAUCACUACACUACAGAUAUCAGAAAAUAGAUUGUUUUGGUAAAAUGCAAUACAAAAAUGGUGGUGAACUCUGAACGGCCAGUGAUGUAUCAGUAAAUAGGUAAGGAAAUCACCAUUUACCCUUCGAUUACUUUUUGGUAAAUCAUUGAUUCGAUUGGAAUUCACUUUUACCUUCUAAAGCCCCCUACUAUACUUUGCAUAUAGUAUAGUAUGUCUAGAAUCAAUUUACAUCAGAGCUUGUGUCACAAUUUUCAAUACUGACACUGGUUCAUCUAGGUUUCCGUUUUCUGUCAGUAAGGUAAAAAAGUGGUGGUCGGUCUGAGAAUAUUCUUGGGCUAUCACUGGCCAUAGAUUCGUACUUCCAUGCAGGUCCUAUAAGCCAAGACACUCUUGCUCCUCCAAGCAAGCCUCCUAGCUGAAAUUGCAAGUUAAGAUUUUAAGCAAUCUCGGUAGUAAAACUUUAAAUACAGGUAUACUACAAGUACACGUGUAAGAGGGACAGUAGUUAAGACUUACAUGAUCCCAAUCAUCAAUGCCACUUGACAUUAGUCUAAUAACCUGCAGGAUCCGCAUUCAUCUCCACUGAGCUCGGAAAAAAUAAGAGCAAAAGCAUUUGAUGCUACAAUUCCUUCUAGGUAAUCAUUGUAUCAAGCAGUAACAUAGCAGAAACUCUUUUUUUUUUAAUGCAUUUGAUAGGCUGUUUAGGGUUCCCAUACAUUGAGUAGCAAAAGCUUUGAAUCAUACCAUGUUUAGGAAAAUAACUUGUGCUAUGUGUUGCAGAUCUUCUUUGGCAUCUCUGAUCAUACCUCUAUGUCUCAUGACAAACACAGCAACAGAACCAACCUAGACAACCAAAAGAUUUACAAAAUGAGAAAAUUGAGGUUCUGGAAUAAAUAAAAGCCAAGUAUUUCAAGGCAUACAAAAAUUAGAUGGAAUAGCUUCAUACGAACAUUUAUCUUAUUCCGUGAAUAAGUUUGCGAGGACUUACCAAU